GGCUAAUCCUAAAGUGGAUGCUCCAGUGAUCAAAGUUGCCAAGCACUGGAAAAAAAGGAUUGCUGCUAAUCUACGACAUUAUUUUUGGCAGGUGGUCUGGGUUGUGAUCUGGCUGUAUCCAUUUCUGCUAUGUCAAGAGCUCUUAGAUCUUGAUAUUGAAAAUGACAUGGAUACGGGUGUUAGAAGAAGACAUAUAGUAGA